AACAUCUUAGUACCCGGAGGAAGAGAAAGAAAAUUCGAUUCCCUUAGUAGCGGCGAGCGAAACGGGAAGAGCCCAAACCAACAAGCUUGCUUGUUGGGGUUGUAGGACACUCUAUACGGAGUUACAAAGGACGACAUUAGACGAAUCAUCUGGAAAGAUGAAUCAAAGAAGGUAAUAAUCCUGUAGUCGAAAAUGUUGUCUCUCUUGAGUGGAUCCUGAGUACGACGGAGCACGUGAAAUUCCGUCGGAAUCUGGGAGGAC
rnacentral:rRNA from 1 species